rnacentral:rRNA from 1 species
CCCGCUGAACUUAAGCAUAUCAAUAAGCGGAGGAAAAGAAACUAACAAGGAUUCCCUUAGUAACUGCGAGUGAAGUGGGAAAAGCUCAAAUUUAGAAUCUGGCAGUCACUUGGCUGUCCGAGUUGUAAUCUAGAGAAGUGUUGCCCGUGCUGGACCAUGUACAAGUCUCCUGGAAUGGAGCAUCACAGAGGGUGAGAAUCCUGUCUUUGACAUGGACUGCCAGUGCUUUUGUGGUAUGCUCUCAAAGAGUCGAGUUGUUUGGGAAUGCAGCUCAAAAUGGGUGGUAAAUGCCAUCUAAAGCUAAAUAUUGGCGAGAGACCGAUAGCGAACAAGUACCGUGAGGGAAAGAUGAAAAGCACUUUGGAAAGAGAGUGAAACAGUACGUGAAAUUGUUGAAAGGGAAACGCUUGAAGUCAGUCGCGUCGACCGAGACUCAGCCUCGCCUUGGCUUGGUGUACUUCUCGGCUGACGGGUCAGCAUCAAUUUCGAUCCUUGGAUAAUGGCAAGGGAAAGGUAGCACCUUUACAGGUGUGUUAUAGUCCUUUGUCGGAUGCAAGGGUUGGGAUUGAGGAACUCAGCACGCACCUCAUCGGUGUCGGGGCCUUUUGGCCUACGUUACGUGCUUAGGAUGCUGGCAUAAUGGCUUUAAACGACCCGUCUUGAAACACGG